rnacentral:rRNA from 1 species
UAUCUCUGUAGAGUCUGCAUAUCAAUAAGCGGAGGAAAAGAAACUAACUAGGAUUCCCUCAGUAACGGCGAGUGAAGCGGGAAGAGCUCAAAUUUGAAAUCUUCAAGGUUCUACCUUGACGAAUUGUAGUUUAAAGAAGUGUUUUCUGUUGGAGUUUUGGUAAAAGUUCUUUGGAAUAGGACAUCAUAGAGGGUGAGAAUCCCGUAUUUGACCAUUAUUUCCAGCUUUGUGAUACACUUUCAAAGAGUCGGAUUGUUUGGGAAUGCAGUCCAAAAUGGGUGGUAAAUUUCAUCUAAAGCUAAAUACUGGCGAGAGACCGAUAGCGAACAAGUACCGUGAGGGAAAGAUGAAAAGAACUUUGAAAAGAGAGUUAAACAGUACGUGAAAUUGUCAAAAGGGAAGCGUUUGACACCAGUGUUGUUUUCUCGAAAAUCAAUUAAAAAAGGCAGGAUUUUGUGUUGUAUUGACUUUAUCAGCUUUCUGCACUCUUUUCUUGUCUUUUUUAAUGCACUUUUCGUUUAACAAGUCAACAUCAAUUUCUUUUGUUGUAAAAGGGUCAUUGGAAGGUGGCUUUCUUUUCGGAGAAAGUGUUUAUAGCCUUUGGCCUCUGCAAUCGGAGAGAUUGAGGUCUGCAGCGUAGAUCCUUCGGGGUUAGAUACAUUUGCCUAAGUUAUAGCCUUUCAUAGACAACUUGUUGACUAUGAUCAGUCAUGUAGCUUACUCGCUUAUGCUAUUUUACCUACGCUUAGGAUGUUGAAGUCAUCGUAUCGCGC